AUUGAACGCUGGCGGCAGGCUUAACACAUGCAAGUCGAGCGAGCGGCGGACGGGUGAGUAAUGUCUGGGAAACUGCCUGAUGGAGGGGGAUAACUACUGGAAACGGUAGCUAAUACCGCAUACCAUCAGAUGUGCCCAGAUGGGAUUAGCUAGUAGGUGGGGUAAAGGCUCACCUAGGCGACGAUCCCUAGCUGGUCUGAGAGGAUGACCAGCCACACUAGAACUGAGACACGGGCCAGACGCCUACGGUAGGCAGCAGUGGGGAAUAUGGCACAAUGGGGGCAAGCCUGAUGCAGCCAGGCCGCGUGUAUGAAGGAGGCCUUCGGGUUGUAAAGUACGUUCAGCGGUGAGGCGUUACCCGCAGAAGAAGCACCGGCUAACUCCGUGCCAGCCGCCGCGGUAAUUC
rnacentral:rRNA from 1 species